rnacentral:rRNA from 1 species
AGCAGUCGCCGCGGUAAUACGAAGGGUGCAAGCGUUAAUCGGAAUUACUGGGCGUAAUGCGUGCGUAGGCGGUUUGUUAAGUCUGUUGUGAAAUCCCCGGGCUCAACCUGGGAAUGGCAAUGGAUACUGGCAAGCUAGAGUGUAUCAGAGGAUGGUGGAAUUCCCGGUGUAGCGGUGAAAUGCGUAGAGAUCGGGAGGAACAUCAGUGGCGAAGGCGGCCAUCUGGGACAACACUGACGCUGAGGCACGAAAGCGUGGGGAGCAAACAGGAUUAGAUACCCCUGUAGUCCCUGUCUCUUAUAC